AACGUAGGUGGCAAGCGUUAUCCGGAUUUACUGGGCGUAAAGCGCUCGCGGGCGGUUUGUCAGGUCGGUUGUGAAAUCUCCCGGCCCAACUGGGAGGGUGCGACCGAAACCGGCACACUUGAGGGCCAGAGAGGGACACGGAAUUCCCGGAGUAGCGGUAAAAUGCGUAGAGAUGUGGAGGAACACCAGUGGCGAAGGCGACUUUCUGGUCUAUAACUGACACUGAGGCGCGAAAGCGUGGGGAGCAAACAGG
rnacentral:rRNA from 1 species